GGGCGACGGCACGUCCACACUGCUCGGGUGAAUCACAGGACAUUGGACUGUUGCAGCAAUCACAUUUAUUCCCUGUAAUCUCCACUCUUAUGAACUUUCAUUAUCUGACACUCAUUUCAUCAAAUAAAAUGAGAUAGAAGCACAGAAUUGGGAUAUCACUUAGAGAUAAUUUGUUUUCAGAAAUUGUAGUCCACGAUCAGCUGGUUCCAAGAUAGAGAAACUGACAGAAGGGUCUGGUGGAGCAAGGCACCUCCACGCACGACGUCCAGGAAGCAGACAGCAUGGGGAAGCAAGAAAGAAAAGGUUACAGACAGCAUAAAAUAAACUCUGGACCACUGGCUGAGAAUCUUUCCCUGGAAGUUGACACAGACGGGAACAGUCCUGCCCUGCCUCCUCUCUGAGUCAGCCUCAUGAAAAUUCUCCCUGAGCAGAGUUCUGUAGAGGAAAAAACCAUAUGCAGUCUCCAACACCAAAUGUGUAAUGCUCGCUGGCGACGAUGCGGUGUAAAAGAACCAGAUAAGUGAAGAGGAGAACUUUGAAAAUUUGGGUUGUAAUUUUGAUAAUUUUAUUAGGAUUUCUAAUAAAUGUCAUCGAGGCUCCUCUGGAAGAAUGUGCUGUUUUGUUGACUGUUCCCAGGUGCUUAAGUCACAGGACUGUGGAGGAAUAGCCCUGUUUAUAGAAGAC